rnacentral:rRNA from 1 species
UGCUGCAUGGUUGUCGUCAGCUCGUGCCGUGAGGUGUCGGGUUAAGUCCCAUAACGAGCGCAACCCUUAUCGUUAGUUGCCAUCUGGUAAUGCAGGGGACUCUAGCGAAACUGCCACCGUAAGGUGAGAGGAAGGUGGGGAUGACGUCAAAUCAGCACGGCCCUUAUGUCCAGGGCUACACACGUGUUACAAUGGUCGGUACAGAGGGCAGCUACCUGGUGACAGGAUGCUAAUCUCGAAAACCGGUCUCAGUUCGGAUCGAAGUCUGCAACUCGACUUCGUGAAGCUGGAUUCGCUAGUAAUCGCGCAUCAGCUAUGGCGCGGUGAAUACGUUCCCGGGCCUU